rnacentral:misc_RNA from 1 species
UGUCUAAUGAUUUCUGUGCAAGUAUUCUUCAUGCAUCAUUAUCAGUUGUUCUGCAACCUCCUCAAUGCUGCCGUCCUCAAUCUCUGUGUUGAAAGAAAGCAGCAAGCUUUCAUGGAGCAAAUUCUCCAAAUCUUCAACAUAAAUUGGUCCUCUAGAUUGAGAGAACCAAGACAAGAUAUCGGUGGCGAGCCGGUGGGAUUUCUGGAGGGAAUCGCGGCCACCCCACUGGUUUUGGAUAGCCAUUUGCAGGCCAUUCCAUCGGGAAAAAAGCAAUGCGAUACCCUCUUGGAGAUGAGAGACAGCCUCUGGCUUUUGAACAGUAAGAUGGCUGCUUUUGCAGAUGGAUUCCAUAAUUUAACAACAAUCUGAGAGAGUUCUUUGGCCUUUGGUUCAGCUCUCCGUCCCCCCGAGAAAAUCCUCUUCCCCUCAGAGAGAGCGAGACAG